UACGUAGGGGGCAAGCGUUGUCCGGAUUUAUUGGGCGUAAAGAGCGUGUAGGCGGUUUGGUAGGUCCGCUGUGAAAACUCGAGCUCAACCUCGAGACGCCGGUGGAAACCAUCAGACUAGAGUCCGGAAGAGGAGAGUGGAAUUCCUGGUGUAGCAGCUGAAAUGCGCAGAUAUCAGGAAGAACACCCGUGGCUAAGGCGGCUCUCUAGUACGGUACUGACGCUGAGACGCGAAAGCGUGGGGAGCGAACAGG
rnacentral:rRNA from 1 species